ACCUGGGGAAGGGCUAUAGCUCAGUGAUAGAGCAUCUGCUUUGCAUGCAGAAGGUCCCUGGGUCCAUCCCCGGGAACCCCAGGUA